UGCUGAACCCCACGCCCGUAGACUACUUACCAUGUGCAGUCGCAUGGACUGGUCGGGCCUCUUAUGUAAAAGCACCGGGGCAUUGCAUUGAAACUUUCAGAGAUCAGUUCUCAACAAUGCAUGCCAAUCAGUUUAUUUGGAGGCCGUAUGAAUCGCGAAAUCUGCCGGAUGUUUGUGUUGCAGGUCGUCCUAUAUAG